rnacentral:tRNA from 1 species
GCCUAACUGGCUCAGUCGGUAGAGCACGCAACUCUUGAUAUCGGGGUUGUAAGUUCGAGUCCUGAGUUGGGCG